rnacentral:ribozyme from 1 species
AGUAGUGUUGUUCUGUAAAAGGGUUGGAUCCGACGCCUCUAGAAGGCUACUAUAGGCUCUCCUUCUCAACUCCUACUCAAUACGUCCACGUCGUGCAGAACGGUAACUUGUUGCUCAGAUCCAAGCUUGGGUACACGGGGAAACCCAACCCCUCGGGCGGAUGAGCGGCAAGGCAGAAUUGAGAGGU